rnacentral:lncRNA from 1 species
CCCGGCUCACUGCAAGCUCCGCCUUCCGUGUUCACUCCAUUCUCUGUGGCCCAGGCUGGAGUGCAGUGGCGCAAUCUCGGCUCACUGCAAGCUCCGCCUUCCGUGUUCACUCCAUUCUCUGUCGCCCAGGCUGGAGUGCAGUGGCGCAACCUCGGCUCACUGCAAGCUCCGCCUUCCGGGUUCCCGCCAUUCUCCUGCCUCAGCCUCCAGAGUAGCUGGGACUACAGGCGCCCGCCACCACGCCCGGCUAAUUUUUUGUAUUUUUAGUAGAGACGGGGUUUCACCGUGGUCUCGAUCUCGUGACCUCUUGAUCCGCCCGCCUCGGCCUCCCAAAGUGCUGGGAUUACAGGCGUGAGCCACCGCGCCCGGCGCAGGGCGUGCCCAGGGCUUCUGAUGCCAGAGCCCAGGAAUGAGCUUUUGCCUUUUGGAUUCAGGGCUUCCCUGUACUCUCACAGAGUCAGAAUGGCCGUAUGUUUACAUGUGAAGCCCUGGGGCUCCCUGGCCCCUUCCUGGGCCGUUCUCCACCUUUUCUCUUCUCACCCUUUGCUGUUCCCUGAGUCAUGCAAUCCAUAGUGAAGAGGCCAGAGGCCCGGAUGGGGAAGUGCCGGGGGCAGCCGUGGCAGCUUCAUCACAGAGCUCCUGGGGACUGAUGCACACAGCUGUGGAAAUGAUAGUAAGGCUCUUUGUUAGAGCUCUUGUGGCUGCCUGGAGAUGAUGCUGCCUUGGCCAUGGCCUGCUGUUAUCCUCGGGGAGCUGGGACGUGGGCACAGGGGCAUGCAUUUCCCCCUCAGCACUAGCUCCAAGGGACAAUGUGCAGCACUUGCUGAGGGCAGAAGAAAAUGGAAAACAAAGACAAACAAACCAAAGAAGGCGGAUGAAGUAGAAGCCAUUCAUUCUUUCCAUGAACAUUGACCCUAUAUCCUGAAGGUGGAUCCAAUGAAAAAAGAGAAGCAGCAAGAGUGGCUUCUGUUUCCCUGGCUGGACUCUGAGUAAUAUAGCAGCAAUAAUUUCCCAAGGGAAAGGAGGAAGACGGGUUGGCUCCAAUGAAGACACUUAUGAUGUGAAGAGUUCCCGUAACAGUUCACCAUCUCUGGGGCAGUUAUACAACAGGGAUCCCUGACUUCUUCAGAACCGAGAGUUCAAAUCAGGACUAUCUGGUGAUGAAUCUAUCCACUAGAAGCUGAUACUUCAGAUUAUGACAAGGGUUGAAAGAGCCUCACCAUAUUGGCUGCUUAAGAACAAAAGAAGGUAUUGAUAAGGAGGUAAUGAAGAGAGAAAUACAGUCUAAAAUAUAAUCUGUAGUUUGUUUGGUCAACUAUAACAGAAAGAAAUUGAGGCAGAGAGGUUAUGGACCAUCCUUUCUCAUCCCCACCUCCACUCUGCACCCUGUGUAGACCAGGAGACUGAAGUGAAAGCUCUUGAGUUUGACUUCUUUCUCCCAACAUAUCCACCCUGGCUUAUAAACACCACCUCAUGAGCUAACUAACUAACUUUCAUCAUUAGAAAGGUGAAAUGAGGCAAUCCCUCUAAGAUCCAUCACUGAAUCAAGAGUUAAGUAAGAACCCCCACACUCUGCCUCAUUUUGAGAUUUUUGGCAAAUAAGACUGAUUUUAUUUCUUUAUAUUGUUAUUGUACAUAAAGUAAAACAAGACAAUAUUUGGGCAGCACAUGAGGCAGAAAACACAGAUGAGGCAAUGAUUGAUCUAGACAAUUUGUAAAGACAUCGCUAUUAUUUCAGAUCAAACAGAUGAGCAAGAACACAUACCCAUGGAGAGGUUAAUUGAUAGGAUCAGUGAAAAGCUCUAUGGGCAUUGAGACACAAUGAGAUAUUGAGAUCAUUACAAAGGCAUUGCUGUGAACUCUUCUUUGGAAAACAUCCAUCCCAUUUAUUAAAAGAGUUGAAUUCAUCUCCCUUUUUAUGUGUUACAACAGAGAAAGAUGACCUUGCAGAUUGUCUAGAAGUAUUAUAUCUGACAGCACACAUGGGAGACUCUUUAUGGUUGGAAAAGCCACUGCAGAUCUUUGUGUCUUAACAUUUCUAACUCAAAAUAACAAAACAGGGAAAAUGAUUUAGGUUCCUUGGGAUGAAAAGACUCUCCAGUUGUGCAAGUAUGAAUAUAUAAUUAUAAAAUUAUACAUGUGUACAGAAAGUAUUAUUUGUAAUUGUGUUCAUAUUUAUUUAUUUUGAUACCUACUGCUAACUUAUCUAGGAUUAAAGAUGGGAAACUAACUGAACUGUACAAUUUCUUCUGAAUACAUGAGACCUGUUGGUCAUUUUUAGAUUAGAGACACAAUGUUGGUAAGCAAAGAAGGCUUCCUGAAAUCCAAACAGGACUGCUUCCUUUUAGAACAAGGCUAGUGCAGAAUCACCUCCUUUUUAUCCGCAGGCCAAGUCCUGCUUCCAGGUAGGUUUUCUUUAUCCCAACUGAUGAUUACAGAAAGUUUGUACUAACAUUUAAAUAUUAGGAGUAUUCACGUAACAACUUGGAUAUUUAUCUCCUCUUGGAAAUCAGAGGAUCUGACCACAGAGAGGUCUUAAAUCCCCAGAGGGUCACCACUGGCUCAAAGCAAACAGUGGUUCCCUUUCCUUUCAGUUUGCAGUAGGUACCAACCUGCCCACUAUUCAUGCACUCAACUGCCUGCUCCUGUAGGAAUGCAAGUUUGUUACCUUUUGUCUAGGGAUUGGAUUUCAGCUUUACAAGUUCAAAAACUUUAUUUAAAUUCAUAAAAGGUUUGGUCCAGCAUAAAACAUCUGUUUCGCAGUAUCCAAAGAUUCCACCUGACAAACAAAAUGCCCAUUUGUUAACUUAUCAUUAG